rnacentral:rRNA from 1 species
UACAGAGGUCCCAAGCGUUGUUCGGAUUCACUGGGCGUAAAGCGUCUGUAGGUGGUCAAAUAAGUCAACUGUUAAAUCUUGAGGCUCAACCUCAAAAUCGCAGUCGAAACUAUUAGACUAGAGUAUAGUAGGGGUAAAGGGAAUUUCCAGUGGAGCGGUGAAAUGCGUAGAGAUUGGAAAGAACACCGAUGGCGAAGGCACUUUACUGGGCUAUUACUAACACUCAGAGACGAAAGCUAGGGUAGCAAAUGGG